CCCAUGGUGAAAUAAUAAUAAGGUGUUGUCACUUAGGGGGUGGUUGUUGUAGUUUUGGCAAUUUCGGCAUACCAGCGUUACAGUAAUGCCUACUCUAUUUAUUCCAAUUUCCUUUCUGGGCAAAAUAGAACAAAAAAUGUAGCAGACAACAAUCUUGUGAAAAAAGUAAGCGUAGGUAUCACUAUUUCUUUGAGUCUCCUUUUCUCUGACUUUUCGUUUCAAAUUUAUUGGAAAAUCUGAGCGAUAGUUUGCAAUAAUUGUGAUUUUGUAAGUAAAUUUUUGCUAAAAUAUAUACAUAUAUAUGUGCAUAUUGAUGAAAUUUAAUUGUUUAUAUAUUUCUUCAAAUAGGUUGAGCUAUUAUCCCGCAAAAAGCAGCGAUUUAUUCAAGAUAAUUCCAGGUAAGUUUCGCAAACUAAAUGCAUUCACCAAACUAAUGUAUUUUUCUCACAAAAGGUUUUUAGAACAGCACCUUUUAAGUUUUAGAGCUGGCUACAGUUGUUUAUUGGGGCAGUGUCUCAUCAGCGGCGCUACCAACAGCGGUGUUAUAAGCAAGUUCCAGAUUUUUGGAGCAGUGUCUCGCCAAGCUGCGCUACCAGCAGCGUUUUAAUAAGCAAGUUCCAGAUUUUUGGAGUAGUGCACACCAGCAGCAUCAUCACCUUCUACAACUAGGGAUUUUUCAACUGCGUUUCAGGUAAGAAUUUAGCAAUUGCCAAUGAAUCAAAUUGGUAACUUAUUUUUUUAUUUGUUUUUGGCUUACACCCAUGCUUACACCAUCUUGUAAUGAUAUAAUUAUUAAUACACCAUGGCUCACACUAAUCACGGAUUCGGUACUUAUCUCCAAGCGUUUCCGCUCGGAUGACUAUGAUGAGGGACUUCGGUCUAGCCACUUAAACGUAUAAUUAUUUAAUAAUAUAACAGAUAGAAUUUAGAUGUGUAAGUUUUAAAUGGUAACGAAAAUAUAGUUUGUAAUAAAAUUCCCGUUAAAGUUAAGUUAUUUAAAAACUUAGUACGCAUAUAUACUUCAGAACUUAAGGAAAAAAAUACAAAUAAAAUUCCAUACUUGAUGAUAUGUUAUU